UACGAAGGGGGCUAGCGUUGCUCGGAAUCACUGGGCGUAAAGGGCGCGUAGGCGGCAUGCCAAGCGUGUGGUGAAAGCCCGGGGCUCAACCCCGGGUCGGCCGUGCGGACUGGCGUGCUCGAGCACUGUAGGGGCGGGUGGAAUUCCGGGUGUAGCGGGGGAAUGCGUAGAGAUCCGGAAGAACACCGGUGGCGAAGGCGGCCCGCUGGGCAGGAAGGCUCGCAAGAGCCGGCUGACGCUGAGGCGCGACAGCGUGGGGAGCAAACAGG
rnacentral:rRNA from 1 species